GACGAACGCUGGCGGCGUGCUUAACACAUGCAAGUCGAACGGAAAGGCUCCAGCUUGCUGGAGUACUCGAGUGGCGAACGGGUGAGUAACAAGUGGGUAAUCUGCCCUGCACUCUGGGAUAAGCCUGAGAAACUGGGUCUAAUACUGGAUAUGACCUUUCUCCUUAUGGGGUUUGGUGGAAAGUUUUUCGGUGUAGGAUGAGCCCGCGGCCUAUCAGCUUGUUGGUGGGGUGAUGGCCUACCAGGGCGACGACGGGUAGCCGGCCUGAGAGGGUGAUCGGCCACAUUGGGACUGAGAUACGGCCCAGACUCCUACGGGAGGCAGCAGUGGGGAAUAUUGCACAAUGGGCGGAAGCCUGAUGCAGCUACGCCGCGUGAGGGAUGACGGCCUUCGGGUUGUAAACCUCUUUCAGCAGGGACGAAGCGUAAGUGACGGUACCUGCAGAAGAAGCACCGGCUAACUACGUGCCAGCAGCCGCAGUAA
rnacentral:rRNA from 1 species